UAAUUUUCUAAAUAAAAUAAGCAACCCCUUGCUUUGCAGACUUUGGACUCUAGAGUUCGGAGAGAACUUGGGGAAAGAAACAAAAACGCUAAUGUCUGCUGAAGUCUGAAUUCACUCCUGAACGGGAGGGAGAGAGAGGCCACAAGAUGGGCACCCAAAGGCCAAUUCUGCAAGUGAGAACCUUCACAAGACACCCAGUGUUUCACUCUCAGAGACCCCAUUCUAUAUCUUCUUGCCCAUCAAACCGCUACUUGGAAAAUGGUGUUGCACUCGUGCAGUCCAAGCGUACCAGCCAAGAACCCUUUUUAUCAGCUUCUCUGUCAGAUUCUCUUUUGGUAGAGAAGCUUUUGUUGGGUUUGAAGCAAGGUAAUCUCAAUCAUCUGCGUAACUAUCUGUUUCGGUUAAACCCACUUCUUGUUGUUGAACUUGUUUCCCGUUGCCGUGAAAAUCUGCAUCUGGGUCUGAAAUUCGUUGACUUGAUUAUGUUAAAUUGUCCGAAUUUCAAGCACUCGUCGCAGUCUUUGAGUGCAAUGAUUCACGUUUUGGUCAGGGCCCGAAGGGCUUCGGAUGCUCAAGCUUUAAUGCUUAGAAUGGUUAGGAAGAGUGGCGUCUCCCGUGUUGAAAUAGUUGAGUCUUUGGUUUCAACCUGUAGCAGUUGCGGCUCUAGCUGCUUCGUUUUUGACUUGUUGCUUAGGACUUAUGUGCAAGCUAGGAAGUUGAGAGAAGGGUUCGAGGCGUUUAAGGCAUUUAGGAGCAAGGGAGUUGCUAUUUCGAUAAAUGCUGCUAAUAGUCUUCUUGGUGGGCUUGUGAAGGUAGGGUGGGUAGAUUUGGCAUGGGAAGUGUAUGGGGAAGUUGUUAGCAGCGGGGUUCAGUUAAAUGUUUAUACACUAAACAUUAUGGUUAAUGCCUUGUGUAAAGAUGGCAAAAUCAAUAGGGUUAAAUUGUUCAUAUCGGACAUGGCUGAGAAGGGGGUUUGUACAGAUAUUGUGACAUAUAAUACUCUAAUCAAUGCCUAUUGUCGUGAAGGGCUUGUAGAAGAAGCUUUCCUGUUGAAAAACUCUAUGGCUUCUAAGGGUUUGAGGCCGGAGCUUUUCACAUACAAUGCUAUCAUAAAUGGAUUAUGUAGGGUAGGAAAUUCUGCAAGGGCAAAGGAAGUUUUGUAUGAGAUGUUGCAGAAUGGAUUAAGCCCUGAUACUACUACCUUUAAUACACUGCUGGUUGAGAGUUGUAGAAAAGAUAAUAUUUCAGAGGCUGAAGGAAUUUUCCGUGAAAUGUCAUGUAGAGGUGUUGUUCCUGAUUUAGUCAGCUUCAGUUCAAUAAUUGGGGUGCUUUCGAGGAAUGGACAUAGUGAUCGUGCCCUAUUAUAUUUUCAAGAAAUGAAAAAUGCAGGCUUGGUUCCAGAUAAUGUGAUCUAUACUAUCCUUAUAGACGGAUAUUGUAGAAAUGGCAAGAUGUCAGAGGCGUUGAAGUUGCGGGAUGAAAUGCUUGAGCAAGGCUGCGUGGUGGAUGUUAUUACCUUCAAUACUAUUUUAAAUGGACUUUGUCGGGAGAAGAUGCUUGCUGAUGCAGAAAAACUCUUCAAUGAGAUGGUGGAAAGGGGUGUCUUUCCAGAUUUUUAUACUUUCACAACACUUAUUCAUGGUUAUUGUAAAAACGGGAAUAUGGCUAAAUCCUUAAGUUUGUUCGAGGCAAUGAUUUGUAAAAAUAUCAAGCCUGAUAUUGUCACGUACAACACAUUGAUUGAUGGAUUCUGCAAAGUAGGUGACAUGGAUAAAGCUAAGGAGCUAUGGAGUGACAUGGUUUCUAGAAGAAUAUCCCCUAAUUACAUUUCAUAUGGCAUUCUUAUCAAUGGAUUCUGUAGCAUGGGACUUGUCCAUGAGGCACUUCAUUUGUGGGACCAGAUGAUUGAAGAAGGUAUCAAACCCACUCUAGUGACUUGUAAUACUGUCAUAAAGGGCUAUAGCCGCUCUGGUGACACAGAAAAGGCAUAUGAGUUCUUAGGCAAAAUGAUUUCAAAAGGAAUUGGUCCUGAUAGUAUUACUUACAAUACUCUGAUUAAUGGAUAUGUAAAAGAAGAAAACCUGGAUAAAGCCUUUUUUUCAGUUAAGGAGAUGGAAAAGCAAGGACUACUGCCAGAUGUGAUUACAUACAAUGUCAUUCUAUAUGGGUUCUGUAGACAGGGUAGACUGCAUGAAGCUGAGUUAGUUUUGCGAAAGAUGAUUGAGAAAGGUGUAAAUCCUGAUAGAUCCACUUAUACGUCAUUGAUAAAUGGACAUGUGUCCCAGGACAAUUUGAGAGAGGCAUUCCGCUACCAUGAUGAAAUGCUGCAGAGGGGAUUUGUACCAGAUGAUGAAUUCUAGUUAUUGGUUUUUCUCUUGUAGCUCAAGGGUUCACUGGAUAUAGAGAAAAUAUACUCACUAUGAUAGCUACGAUCCUGAAUUCAGGAUACUUGAUCUUCAUCAGCUUAUCACUAGGUCUGAAGAUGUGAAAUGGCCUCAUCCCGUAGAAACUAGAAAGUUUGGAAUUGAUACUAUAAUGGGAAAGAGGCUAUUGAAGGGGAGAAUCAAAUGGGCCUUUCAUGUGCCCGCUGAAACAGAACAUGCAAAUAUGCAAGAGAGCGCUCUUUCUAGCAUUCAUUUGUUGUGCUUGGAAUAGUGCAAUAUCUGUUCUUGGUGUUCAGAAGCUAGUCUGCAGUUGAGUUUGCGGUGAUACAGCUGCUUCUGUCUCAAUUUCUAUUAUCUCCGCUGUGGCAGUUCAGGUUGGAGAGGAGAAAUUUCAGGUAUCAACGAGCCAACGAGGAUCUGUCUGAGAGAUGAGAUUUAAAGAUGGAGAGAAAUUUAUGAAUUUUCUUGUAUCCUUUUAAGAUCAAGAAAUGAGUUGUUUUGCACCCGAAGAAAACGAGUAUAAGGAACUUUUCUUGUAUCCUUUUAAGAUCAAGAAAUGAGUUGUUUUGCACCCGAAGAAAACGAGUAUAAGGAACUUGGGUAUGCACCGCUACUCAGCCGGUGUCUUCUUCUUUCUGUAAAAUUAACGGCUUAUAGUAAAUCUCAUUUUGUCCAUUUUAACUACAAAUAACUCGAUGGAAAUGAAGUGAAAUGCUAAUAUGUGGACUACUUCAAACUUUUGUUGUUUAAUUUACGGUGCAGUUUCAUUUA